GAUCAGGCUACCACAUGUCAGCAGACUGCUUGUUUUUCUGAGUCUAACAGCAUGCAGAGUUACAGCUUCAGGCUUGAAUACAGUAAGAUUUUGCUAUAUUUAUGGAGGCAUGAGGGGCCCAGGAGGGCUAGAUGGUGGUUUUAACCCUAGAGGGUCAGGAAUACAUGUUUGUGUUCCUGACCCUAUAGGGUUCCUUUAAUUUAUUUGUCCUGAUUUAAAGAGUACUUAAUAUGUCUAGGAUUCAGUUUAUUUUUGGUAGUUACGGGUAACAAAAUACAAGGAGUAAAAUAAAAUUUCCAUCUAAAAUAAUUUUACAGUUUGUUAUUUUUGUCUUGUAAACCUAAUAGGUAUUAAAGAAAACAGAAUUGCC